UACGUAGGGCGCAAGCGUUAUCCGGAAUUAUUGGGCGUAAAGAGCUCGUAGGCGGUUUGUCGCGUCUGCCGUGAAAGUCCGGGGCUCAACUCCGGAUCUGCGGUGGGUACGGGCAGACUAGAGUGAUGUAGGGGAGACUGGAAUUCCUGGUGUAGCGGUGAAAUGCGUAGAUAUCUGGAGGAACACCGGUGGCGAAGGCGGCAUCCUGGACCGGUACUGACGCUGAGGCGCGAAAGCCAGGGGAGCAAACGGG
rnacentral:rRNA from 1 species